GUCGAGAAUCUUUCACAAUGGGGGCAACCCUGAUGGAGCGACGCCGCGUGGAGGAUAAGGUCUUCGGAUUGUAAACUCCUGUCAUGCGUGAACAAGGUUGCUUGGUUAAUACCUGGGCAAAUUGAUGGUAACGCAAGAGGAAGAGACGGCUAACUCUGUGCCAGUAGCCGCGGUAAUACAGAGGUCUCAAGCGUUGUUCGGAAUCACUGGGCGUAAAGGGUGCGUAGGUGGCGUGGUAAGUCAGAUGUGAAAGCCCGGGGCUCAACCUCGGAACUGCAGCAGAUACUGCCAUGCUAGAGUACUGGAGAGGUGACUAGAAUUCUCGGUGUAGAAGUGAAAUGCGUAGAUAUCGAGAGGAAUACCAAAGGCGUAGGCAGGUCACUGGACAGUUACUGACACUGAGGCACGAAGGCCAGGGGAGCGAACGGGAUUAGAAACCCCAGUAGUCC
rnacentral:rRNA from 1 species